AGCAGAAAAAGAUGUCAAAAAGAAAAGUGAGAAGGAAACUGCCGUUGAUGUGGAAAAAAAAGAGCCGGGAAAAGCUCCUGAAACCAAACAAGGGACUGUAAAAAUUGCAGCACAAGCAGCUAGAAAGGAUGAAAAGAAGGAAGAUUCCAAGAAAACAAAAACACCUGCAGAAG